CAACUGAACCACCCAGGCACCCCUGCGUUAGGAAUUUUCAUGUAUUGUAUCUGAUCUUUCCAACAACUUUUCAAGAUUGGUUUCAUUAUAUCCUAUUUUAUAGAUAAGCAAACUCUAUAUAGAGAGAUUUUUAAGAGAGAAAAAUACUUUAAGGAAUUGGCUUAUGUGAUUGUGGAAACUAGCAAAUCCGAAAUCCUUAUGGCAGGCCAGCAGGUUGGAAAUUGGGAUAAAAGCGGAAUUUGCAGUCUUGAGUCUGAAUUCAGCAUGGCAGUAGGCUAGAAACUCAGUCAAGGUUUCUAUGCUGCAGUCCUGAGAAGAAUUUCUUCUGGAAACCUCAGUCUUUGCUCAUAAGGCCAUCAGCUGAUGGGAUGAUGCCCAUCCACAUUAUGGAGUGCAAUCUGCUUUAAUCAAAGUGUACUGAUUGUAAAUGUUAAUCACCUCUAAAAAUAUGUCUUAAAACUACAUCUAGAAUGGUGUUGACCAGACAACUGGACGUCAUAGCCUCCCCAAGUUGACUCAAGAUUAACCAUCACAGUGAGUUGGACAAAAUUUUACAGCUAGUAAGUGGAUAGACCAGGAAGCUAGAUAUCUCUGGGGUCAAAGGCCAGAAGUGGGUGAGCAAACUGUACACAGAGAGUACACAGUUGGCCGGUUGUCUUGGAUAGGGGGUGGGCCAAUGAGAGGGUAAAGUUGCACUCCAUAGAGAUAAUCUCUGGGCCAGAGGAGCUCUUCUAAGCUUCUAGACUGAGUUACAGUGCCAACUAACUAUGGGAUACUAGGCAAGUCACACCUCUUUGGGUCCAUUUUGUUUAUUAUUUCUCUUCUGAAGGGAGGGAUUGGAGUAGAUGGUCUUUUAGGUUCUUUCAAGCCAUACAUGCUAAUAUUCAAUGCUACAAAGAGGAAACACAAAUUUAUACUAUAACACUGUAUCACUACAUACCCACCAGAAUGGCUAAGCAUAGGAAGACUGAAAAUACCAAGUUUUGGAGAGAAUGUGAAACAACUAGAACUCUCAUAAAUCAGCAGCGGGAGUACCUGUUGGCACAACUACUUAGACAUUCACCAGGAGAUACUGUAAGAGCUAACUAUAUUCCUACUCUAUCAUCCAGCAAUUACAUUCCUGCAUACCUCAGACCCAAAAGAGACAAGCACAUUAGUCCCAAAAAGGCAUGCAUAAGAAUGAGCAUAGGAAAAAAAAAAAAGCAAAAGUGGGGAGAAGUUAAUUAAGUUUAAAUGAAGUCAUAAGGGGAGAACCUACUUCAAUAGGACUAGUGUUCUUAUAAGAAGAGGAAGAGAUACCACACACACACAAAGGAAAGGCCAUGUGAGGACUUAGGGAAAAGGCAACCAACCAUCUACAAACCAGGAAGAGAAGGUUCAUCAGAAAACCAAUCCUGAUGACACCUUGAUCUUGGACUCCUAGCCUCCAGAACUGUGAGAAAAUAAAUUUCUGUUAUUUAAACUAAAGGAGAAGAAAAGGAGAAGAGGAAGGAGAAGGGGAAGGGGUUAACAAAGUUACAACAUACAUAUAGUGAAAUUCACAAAUUUUACUGAUUUUUUGCAUAUGAAUAAACCUGUGUAAUUACUACCCAACUCAAGAACAUUUCCAGCAUCCCAGCAGAUUCCUUUGUGCCCAUUCUCAGCCAAUACUCCCCAAGGGCAACCACCGUUCUAACCUCUACCACUCCAGGUUGGGUGAUCUUGGGCAAGUCAACACACUGGAUCCAUGGAUUUUUUUAUCUGUACAACAGGACAAUAGCAGAAUCUCACCUGCUGUGAGGAUUAAACCAGGUAAUUUAGUGGCCAUUGGAUGGGAUUACCCUGAGUGCCCGGUGGAGGGAAAGAGAUGUCCAUAUGCAAGGGAAGAAGAAAUGCUGACUGCAGUCUGGAGCCUGUUAGCUUGAAAACACCAAGGUGCUCUUCAGGAAUCUUGUCUGACAAGGGGUCAGCAGGGGGCGCCCUCGGUAGCACGAGCACCCACCCCUGUAUACUGUCGCGGAAAGAGGAGCGCCCAUCAGUUUGUCAAUGUCACCCCGAAAUGAAAGUGCCUGGAUGGUGGCAGAACCCCCUGCUGAGGUGAAAGGGUCAGUAAUUCCAGGGCUGUGGGCUGGACGGCAAAAAGGGACCCAGAGAUGAGGAAGGGGAAAUGUUACAGUGGCCCCUUUCUUGAAGGCGGUGAAACCAGAGGGAAAGAGCGAGGCAGCUGUGGCCGGAGGGUGUUGUCCCCGCUCUUCCCCGCAUCUUCCCCGCCUCCUUAUCAUUGAUGGAGCUGUUGUGCUAAGCACUUCACAUGCGUUUCUUAAUCUUCCACUUAGAGUCUGGAGAUGAACCCACUCUUAGGAGCUGUGCGAUCCCGAACCUCUGUUCCCAAUUGUGAAAUGGGGACAUUAGCACCUGCCCCAGACCACUUUCCUUCCUUUUUAAUUUAAUUUUUAUUUUAUUUUCCAUAGAAAGCAGAAUAACUUAUUCCAAAGGAAGGCAGAGAUAAGAAAUUC